CUCUGCCCAAACCAAACUCUCACUGACAUCAUGACAGUAGUAUGUCACAAAAAUAGAGUUAUAAGUGAGGGUCAUGAGUGUAGAGUUUCACAAGACUUUGAAACAAAUCAUACCAACAGCUCUUGUGACCCCAGAGUCACACUGCAGAUAGAGAAUGACAGAGUGUUUCUACACAUCACCAACAUACAACCAUCUGAUGAAGGGAACUACACCUGUGAUUGUACAUAUUAUAAAGGCAGUUCUGAUAUAAACAUACAUAUUUCUGUCAAUGGAACCCAAGUGCAACAGGCCACAGACAACAGUCUCUUCUAUUGGGGGAUGAUAACAGGCGUUGCAGCAUGUGUAGCUGUCCUGGUGUUUGGUGGCGUAAUCAUGAGGAAAAUUCAUCUCAGGAGAACACAGCUACAAGUGUCUGGAACCGUCAACGAGGAGGAGCAACAGGACAUGGAGCCCUUCAACAUGUUCACAAGGAGAGACAAUGGGCUUUACUCAACUCUCCAGCUGCCACAUCCUAACCCCUGACCCUCUGGCACCGUUGACCAAUGACGACAUGGCAUUAGACACCUUCUCGUAACAGUUAGCUAUACAGCUAUACGGUAGAGUGGUAGAUAUGCAUUUACUGUGAAUAUUUUGAUGACUGAAAAUUACUUUUUUUCCCUUGUCUAACUUGCCAUAUAUAAGCCUCUCCUUUACUGUAGAUGUUCUGUGGUUGUUGUAAAUAUCAACACAUACUGUCUGCAGGCUGCACAUCUGUUAUGGAAGUACAGGUGUUAUAUACAGUUAUAUACAAAAUUAUAGCUGUUCUGUUUGCGGAUAGAACAAAGCAUGUUUCUGUGGAGAUCACCUGAUCCCAAAGUCAUAAUCUUUUCCACCAGGUGUCAGUGUACUGUUGUAAAAUACUUACAUUUUCCUGUCAUAAACAUGAAUGGCGAAAUCAAUAAAAGUCCCAACUGUCACUGUAUUGAAACUGUAACUUUAGAAUAUUCAUGUAGACCUGUUUUAGUUUUCUGUUUCCUGUAUAGGCCUGGCUACAUGAAUUAUCCUACAUGUUUUGGUGCAUAUGUUAAUAAACACACAAAACUAGUAACUAGCUGGAUAUGAUUUAUUAGAACUGUUUUUCCCACAAAAUGUAUGUAUGCUGUAGCCUAUGUACUUCUGUGGAUGCAAGGCCAGUCUAUUUAAAGCAUGAGAACUGUUUCAUGGAGGCCGGUCUGUCGUUUCCUUCCUGCACAUCAGUUAGCCUGACUAUCCAUCCUCAUCGCUCCGGCCAAACACCACGCCCACUAGUGUUUCUUCUCCACCAUGAGUCUGGAUUUGCUUUCCUCCCCGACGGCUUAAGAAUGUGAAAACAUUCUCACCAUUCUGAUUGGUCCCAGAAACUGAUGGGUUGAGCCAGAACUGGCUUACAUGAAUCACGUCAUUGGCUUUGACAUUCUGAUUGGUUAGAGACUUCCAUUUGCUGGUUUAUUUAUUUUGUACAAUACCCCUCAUUUUGAUGUCAGCACAAAUGAUUUCUAGUAUUGUCACGUCCUGACCAGUAAAGGGGUCAUUUUGUUAUUGUAGUUGGUCAGGACGUGGCAGGGGUGUGUUUGUUUUGUGUUGUUGGGUUUUUUGGGUUAGUUCUUUGUUAUGUAUUUCUAUGUUUGAUUUUCUAGUAUUUCUAUUUCUAUGUGGUAUUGUUUGGGAUUGGACUCUAAUUGGAGGCAGCUGUAUCUCGUUGCCUCUGAUUAGAGGCCAUAUUUAAAUAGGGGUUUUUGUCUUGUGUUUUGUGGGUGGUUGUUCCAUGUAUAGCUGUGUAG
rnacentral:lncRNA from 1 species